CCUCCCUUCCAUCAGCUCUGCCCCAUGGAGGACAGCACUCCCCAGCUCUGCCCUCAGCUCCUGCUGACGCUGCGCUGUUGGAGCUGGAACCACAACGGCUGAGUGGCUUCUGGCUAUUGUGCUCCCGAGUGUGCAGUGGCUUCCUCCUCACUCCUACUCCUCCUCUCCCUGAGUGGCUGCUGGAGCAUCAGGAAUGUAAGUGCAGCAGGCGAUGUUAUCUUCCCAAGUAGUUUGUGUGAAGCAUGGAGGUGUUCCUGUGGACUUUCAGUUGCAUAGAACUUGACAGAGCUGCUUUUUGGCCUGGAGUUAUCAGCUUGACAUUCCCUUCAGCUGGAAAAAUGGUUCUUUGGGGCUUGCUUGUACAGAAGGAAGAAUUCUUUACAUGGAGCUCUGCAAGCCCUGAGCCUGGUCAGGCGAGGAGGAAUGGCUUUACAUGGCAGUGGAGAAGAGAUGCCAUAAAUCAGAUCCCACCUCCUCUCCCCUACAAGCAUUCCUGGGGCAGGGAAUGAACUCCAGCAUCACCCUGACAUGUGCCAUCCAGGGAAAGUGUGCAAAGCUGGAUUAGAACUCACUGGAGAGGGAAGAGAGAUUUCCUGCAAGGCUUAGGGAAACGUGCUCAGGCUGGCUGGGUUUGUAAAUUGGGUUAACUGGUAUUAAUCUGUGAGCAUCUGCAGGUUUUCCUCCACGUGGAGAUGGGUGACAUUUCCAGAGCUCCAGUUCUCCAGGUUCCUACUGAAAAGUCAGAGAUAAUGACUUUUCCAGGGACAUAAAGCUACUAACUCUGCAUUGACAGAAGAUGAUUAAUAACCAGGCUGUUUGUAUUUACAGCUGCCUCACCCACUGCUGAAACGGGGACACCUCCCAAGCAGCCCCUGGAGCUCUUUCUCCUGUGGCACCAGGAAUCUGGUGCUGUGGGUAGUUCCAAGCAGGAUACCAAGAAAAAACCUCUCUGAAAGGGACUUUGGGAGUCUCCUGCUCCUGGUGGCUCCCUCCCUGCCUGCCCUGGAUCAGCGGAUGGAGGGGAAUGGUUAUGCCCUCUUCUCUCUGCAGCAACCUUGUGAAUAUUAAGGAAGCUGCUGCAGCCUCUCCCAUGGGUGGAAGCUGGAUGAAAGCUGGAUAGAAGCUGGGUGGAAGCUGGAUGGAAUAAUAGUGGCCUACAAGUGCUGGCUGCCAGCAGCUCAGGAGGGGAUGGCGAUCUGGCUCCUCAGCCGGAGAUUGCUUCCAGCCACAAAGUGCUCUGGCUCUUCCCAGCACGGGCACGGGCUGAGGAUGCAGCAAGCAAGAGCUGUCCUGAGGCUUUUGAACCUCCACAGCUGACUCUGUGGUGGGAAUGCAUCACAGCCCUGCUCUGGGCUUUGCUUUCUGCGUUACUGGGGAAAGCAGAGGAAGAGGGCACAGCCUCAGGUUGCACCAUAGGAGGUUUAGCUUGGAACAGUUUCUUCCCUAGAAGGGUUGCCAAGCCCUGGAACAGGCUGCUCAGGGCAGUGGUGAAGUCCCCAUCCCUGGAGGGGUUUUGAAAGCUGUGUAGAGGUGGUGCUGAGUGACACGGUUUGGUGGUGACCUGGCAGGGCUGGGUUAAUGAUGAUCCUACAGGUCUCUUCCAGCUGAAACCCUUCUAUGAUUCUGUGUUUGCUUCAGCCCCUGGGGCUGAGCAGAUCUGACCCAUCCAGCCCCAUCCCAUGGCAGAGGGGUUAGAAGCAGGUGAUCUUUAAGUCCCUGCCAACACAAACCAUUCUGUGAUUCUGUGAUCCCAGACCCACUGCUCCAGCUUUCCCCUUCCCCGGGGCAAUGUCAUCAAACCCAGCUGAAAGCAGAUCAGCUUCUGCAGGUCCCUCAGCCAGAAGGGACUCUGCUAGCAAGAAACCUCACCGCUGAGCCUGCUGCCCAGAAUACCUCCCUGAGCCAUGACCCUGCUAUGGCAAGCAGUGUUCCCCUCCCCAUCACCUCCAGCACAGGUUGGCAGCUGCCCCUGCCAGGUCAGAGACAUCGUGGAGGCUCCUCUCUCCCCUCUCUGCUAAUAGGGAAGGCUCAGGGGCCGGUGCCAAAUCCUGCUCCAACAGCUGUAUGUUCUCCAGCAUGAGUCAUCCCCACCCCGAGCUCUCAGCCUCUCCAUAACAACAUUCCUUCUCUCUGAUCUCAGAUCCUGGCUGUGAUCACUUGCUGUCUAGUUCUCCUGCCUCCAUCCACAUGGUUCCUCCUGUCCAGGCUCUGUCUUCUCCUCAGACAGCAGAGGAGCCUUUGCCAGGAUCUCCAGAGCUUGAACCAAGGUGGAUGCAGAUCACCUCUUUCUCCCCCAGAGUCAAGAGGAGGUGCCCAGUCUCCAUGAGAUCCAUUUCUGCUCUCUCUGAAGAGAGACAGUGACACUGUUCUUUUUCUUCUCGUUGUUCCACCCCAUCCAAGACAUGUCUGAGAGCAACCACUGCCCACCCUCUCCCAGAACACUGGCAAGAGUGCUCAGAGCUUUUGAUCCUGCACAUCUCCUUCGGUCUUGCUGCGAGCUCCUCUCCACAGCCUCCUCCCUGAGCCACUUCCCCUCUCUCCCUGCUGUCCCUUUUGUCCCCAGUGGGUUAUUUUCUUUGUCUCUCUGCAAGGCCUACUGUCUGUGUGGACACAAGCAGCAGCAACACCCACAUCCUGCUCCGUGAGGGGAGUGGAAGAGCCAAACAGAGCUCUUCCUCCUCUGCAGGACCUUGUCCUCUGCACGGUUCACCUUGAACCCUGCAAAGCUGCAGUCAGCCGCCCUCUCCCUU